rnacentral:rRNA from 1 species
GCUUGCUUUUCUUAUUUAGUGGCGGACGGGUGAGUAACGCGUGAGGAACCUGCCUUUCAGAGGGGGAUAACGUCUGGAAACGGACGCUAAUACCGCAUGACAUCUUUGGGUCACAUGGUCUGAAGAUCAAAGGAGCAAUCCGCUGAGAGAUGGACUCGCGUCCGAUUAGCCAGUUGGCGGGGUAACGGCCCACCAAAGCAACGAUCGGUAGCCGGGCUGAGAGGCUGAACGGCCACAUUGGGACUGAGACACGGCCCAGACUCCUACGGGAGGCAGCAGUGGGGGAUAUUGCACAAUGGAGGAAACUCUGAUGCAGCAACGCCGCGUGAGGGAAGAAGGUUUUCGGAUUGUAAACCUCUGUCCCCGGUGACGAUAAUGACGGUAGCCGAGGAGGAAGCUCCGGCUAACUACGUGCCAGCAGCCGCGGUAAUACGUAGGGAGCGAGCGUUGUCCGGAUUUACUGGGUGUAAAGGGUGCGUAGGCGGCACUGCAAGUCAGGUGUGAAAACUAUGGGCUUAACCCAUAGCAUGCACUUGAAACUGUGGUGCUUGAGUGGAGUAGAGGCAGGCGGAAUUCCCGGUGUAGCGGUGAAAUGCGUAGAGAUCGGGAGGAACACCAGUGGCGAAGGCGGCCUGCUGGGCUUUAACUGACGCUGAAGCACGAAAGCAUGGGUAGCAAACAGGAUUAGAUACCCUGGUAGUCCAUGCCGUAAACGAUGAUUACUAGGUGUGGGGGGUCUGACCCCUUCCGUGCCGGAGUUAACACAAUAAGUAAUCCACCUGGGAAGUACGACCGCAAGGUUGAAACUCAAAGGAAUUGACGGGGGCCCGCACAAGCAGUGGAGUAUGUGGUUUAAUUCGAAGCAACGCGAAGAACCUUACCAGGUCUUGACAUCCAACUAACGAGGCAGAGAUGCGUCAGGUGCCCUUCGGGGAAAGUUGAGACAGGUGGUGCAUGGUUGUCGUCAGCUCGUGUCGUGAGAUGUUGGGUUAAGUCCCGCAACGAGCGCAACCCUUGUGAUUAGUUGCUACGCAAGAGCACUCUAAUCAGACUGC